GAUGAACGCUGGCGGCGUGCCUAAUACAUGCAAGUCGAGCGAACAGACGAGGAGCUUGCUCCUCUGACGUUAGCGGCGGGCGGGUGAGUAACACGUGGAUAACCUACCUAUAAGACUGGGAUAACUUCGGGAAACCGGAGCUAAUACCGGAUAAUAUAUUGAACCGCAUGGUUCAAUAGUGAAAGACGGUUUUGCUGUCACUUAUAGAUGGAUCCGCGCCGCAUUAGCUAGUUGGUAAGGUAACGGCUUACCAAGGCAACGAUGCGUAGCCGACCUGUGAGGGUGAUCGGCCACACUGGAACUGAGACACGGUCCAGACUCCUACGGGAGGCAGCAGUAGGGAAUCUUCCGCAAAGGGCGAAAGCCUGACGGAGCAACGCCGCGUGAGUGAUGAAGGUCUUCGGAUCGUAAAACUCUGUUAUUAGGGAAGAACAAAUGUGUAAGUAACUAUGCACGUCUUGACGGUACCUAAUCAGAAAGCCACGGCUAACUACGUG
rnacentral:rRNA from 1 species